rnacentral:rRNA from 1 species
UGGGGAAUCUUGCACAAUAGGGGCAACCCUGAUGCAGCGACGCCGCGUGAGCGAUGAAGCCCUUCGGGGCGUAAAGCUCUUUCGACCGGAACGAUAAUGACGGUACCGGGAGAAGAAGCUGCGGCUAACUACGUGCCAGCAGCCGCGGUAAUACGUAGGCAGCAAGCGUUGUUCGGAGUUACUGGGCGUGAAGAGUGCGUAGGCGGUUUUCUAAGUUCGGUGUGAAAUCUCCCGGCUUAACUGGGAGGGUGCGCCGAAGACUGGGAAGCUGGAGUGUGGGAAAGGCAGGCGGAAUUCCUGGUGUAGCGGUGAAAUGCGUAGAUAUCAGGAGGAACACCGGCGGUGUAGACGGCUUGCUAGACCAUAACUGACGCUGAGGCACGAAAGCGUGGGUAGCAAACA